GGUUGAUCCUGCCAGUAGUCGUGUGCUUGUUUCAACGACUAAGCCAUGCAUGUCUAAGUAUAAGCACUUGUACUGUGAAACUGCGAAUGGCUCAUUAUAUCAGUUAUAAUUUAUUUGAUGGUACAUUACUACUUGGAUAACCGUGGUAAUUCUAGAGCUAAUACAUGCGACGAGCCCCGCAAGGGGCGCAUUUAUUAGAUUCAAGCCAGCGCCGCAAGGCCGUGGUGAUUCAUAAUAACUGAGCAGAUCGUAUGGCCUUGCGCCGACGACGUGUCAUUCAAAUUUCUGCCCU
rnacentral:rRNA from 1 species